GUAGGGAAUCUUCCACAAUGGACGAAAGUCUGAUGGAGCAACGCCGCGUGAGUGAAGAAGGUCUUCGGAUCGUAAAACUCUGUUGUUAGAGAAGAACGUGCAUGAUAGUAACUGAUCAUGUAAUGACGGUAUCUAACCAGAAAGCCACGGCUAACUACGUGCCAGCAGCCGCGGUAAUACGUAGGUGGCAAGCGUUGUCCGGAUUUAUUGGGCGUAAAGGGAACGCAGGCGGUUUUUUAAGUCUGAUGUGAAAGCCUUCGGCUUAACCGAAGAAUAGCAUUGGAAACUGGAAGACUUGAGUGCAGAAGAGGAGAGUGGAAUUCCAUGUGUAGCGGUGAAAUGCGUAGAUAUAUGGAGGAACAACAGUGGCGAAAGCGGCUCUCUGGUCUGUAACUGACGCUGAGGUUCGAAAGCGUGGGUAGCAAACAGGAUUAGAAACCCGAGUAGUCC
rnacentral:rRNA from 1 species